rnacentral:lncRNA from 1 species
CGAGGAUUAUUGAAGUUUAAGUAGGUUGGGAUCUCAAAAAAUAGAAUUUUAGGCCUAAUGAGUUUUUAAGAUUUCUUGCAAUCUAUCAAUUGGAUUGGAGUGACAAUUAUGUGUAUAGGUAGUAGACUUGUUUUUCUAUGUAUUUAAGAAAUUUGAAAUCAAUCGAACAAUUCAAUAAGGAGAUAUUAACAUUGAAAAUUCAACAUUUAGGUUGAAGAAGGAGGCCGGCCAACAUCUCACCAAAUAUUAGGAUCGAUCUUCUUUUGGUGAGUUUAAUCUUAUUUAAAAUUUUUGUGCUUGUAAUCAACUUAAUUAUAAAGAAGUGUUCAAAAUUUGAGUUAAAAUCAAUGAUUAAUUCAUUAGUUAUUGAGGUUUAAAUCUACUAUAGGAAUUAUUUAGAUUAUUUAGGAUUUGGUUAGAGUAUGUUUAGGAUUUGAUUAGGAUUCAAUUAAAAUUUGUUUAGAUUUAUUUAAAAAUUAGUUAAGAUUUAUUAAGAUUUUAUUAGGAUUUGAUUAAAAUUUGUUUAGGAUUUGAAUAGGAUUUAUUUAGAGUUGAUUAAGAUUUGGUUAAAAUUUGACUAAGAUUUGAUUAGGGUUUGGUUAGGCUUUGAUUAAGAUUUGGUUAGGAUUUGAUUAGGUUUUGGUUAGGAUUUGAUUAAUAUUUGGUUAAGAUUUGACUAGGAUUUGGUUAGGAUUUAGUUAGAAUUUGAUUAGAUUUUGUUUAGAAUUUGGUUAUGCUUUGGUUGAGAUUUGAUUAAGAUUUAGUUAAAAUUUGAUUAGAAUUUAUUUAGGAUUUGGUUAGGAUUUGACUAGGAUUUAAUUAAGAUUUCUACUUUAGUAUAUUUUUGAAUUCCUAUGUUAUUUCUUUAUGAUUUCUUUAAAAAAUAUUUAAGAAUAUUUUAUAUUUUUUAUAUAAUUAUUUUACAAUUUCGAUUGAAUUUGAUUGAUGUUUGAUUGUACUUACUAAUUUUUAAUUGUAA